rnacentral:rRNA from 1 species
AACGAACGCUGGCGGCAUGCCUAACACAUGCAAGUCGAACGAGACCUUCGGGUCUAGUGGCGCACGGGUGCGUAACGCGUGGGAACCUGCCCUUAGGUUCGGAAUAACUCCCCGAAAGGGGUGCUAAUACCGGAUAAUUUCUUCGGACCAAAGAUUUAUCGCCUUUGGAUGGGCCCGCGUUGGAUUAGCUAGUUGGUAGGGUAAAAGCCUACCAAGGCGACGAUCCAUAGCUGGUCUGAGAGGAUGAUCAGCCACACUGGGACUGAGACACGGCCCAGACUCCUACGGGAGGCAGCAGUGGGGAAUAUUGGACAAUGGGCGAAAGCCUGAUCCAGCAAUGCCGCGUGAGUGAUGAAGGCCUUAGGGUUGUAAAGCUCUUUUAACCGGGAUGAUAAUGACAGUACCGGGAGAAUAAGCUCCGGCUAACUCCGUG